GAUGAACGCUGGCUACAGGCUUAACACAUGCAAGUCGAGGGGAAACGACGGGGAAGCUUGCUUCCCCGGGCGUCGACCGGCGCACGGGUGAGUAACGCGUAUCCAACCUGCCUCUGACUGAGGGAUAACCCGUCGAAAGUCGGCCUAAUACCUCAUGGCAUCGUCUGCGGGCAUCCAACGACGAUUAAAGAUUUCAUCGGUCAGGGAUGGGGAUGCGUCUGAUUAGCUUGUUGGCGGGGUAACGGCCCACCAAGGCUACGAUCAGUAGGGGUUCUGAGAGGAAGGUCCCCCACAUUGGAACUGAGACACGGUCCAAACUCCUACGGGAGGCAGCAGUGAGGAAUAUUGGUCAAUGGGCGGGAGCCUGAACCAGCCAAGUAGCGUGCAGGAUGACGGCCCUAUGGGUUGUAAACUGCUUUUAUGCGGGGAUAAAGUGAGGGACGUGUCCUUCAUUGCAGGUACCGCAUGAAUAAGGACCGGCUAAUUCC
rnacentral:rRNA from 1 species